AGUGAACGCUGGCGGUAGGCCUAACACAUGCAAGUCGAACGGCAGCACAGUAAGCUCUUGCUCUUACGGGUGGCGACUGGCGGACGGGUGAGGCAUACAUCGCCAUCUACUUUUUCUUGGGUGAUAACGUAGGGCAACUUACGCUAAUACCGCAUACUAUCUACCGGUGAAAUCAGGGGAUCUUCGCACCUUGCGCGAUUGAAUGAGCCGAUGUCGGAUUAGCUAGUUGGCGGGGUAAAGGCCCACCAAGGCGACGAUCCGUAGCUGGUCUGAGAGGAUGAUCAGCCACACUGGAACUGAGACACGGUCCAGACUCCUACGGGAGGCAGCAGUGGGGAAUAUUGGACAAUGGGCGCAAGCCUGAUGCAGCCAUGCCGCGUGGGUGAAGAAGGCCUUCGGGUUGUAAAGCCCUUUUGUUGGGAAAGAAAAGCAGCAGGUUAAUACGCCGCUGUUCUGACGGUACCCAAAGAAUAAGCACCGGCUAACUUCGUG
rnacentral:rRNA from 1 species